UGAGGAAUAUUGCGCAAUGGGGGAAACCCUGACGCCGCAACGCCGCGUGAGUGAGGAAGGUUUUCGGACCGUAAAGCUCUGUCGAGCGGGAAGAAAUGCAUGGUGGCUAAUAUCCAUCAUGCUUGACGGUACCGCUAAAGGAAGCACCGGCUAACUCCGUGCCAGCAGCCGCGGUAAUACGGUGGGGGCGAGCGUUGUUCGGAAUUAUUGGGCGUAAAGAGCGUGUAGGCGGCUGAAUAAGUCAGAUGUGAAAUCCCUGGGCUUAACCCAGGACGUGCAUUUGAAACUAUUCGGCUAGAGUAGGGGAGAGGAAAGUGGAAUUUCUGGUGUAGAGGUGAAAUUCGUAGAUAUCAGGAGGAACACCGGUGGCGAAGGCGACUUUCUUGCCCUAUACUGACGCUGAGACGCGAGAGCGUGGGUAGCAAACA
rnacentral:rRNA from 1 species